rnacentral:rRNA from 1 species
AUACAGAGGGUGCGAGCGUUGUUCGGAAUUAUUGGGCGUAAAGCGCUGGUAGGUGGCUUGUUAAGUCGCGUGUGAAAUCUCCAGGCUCAACCUGGAAAGUGCGCGCGAAACUGGCGAGCUUGAGUGCCGGAGAGGGUCGCGGAAUUCCCGGUGUAGAGGUGAAAUUCGUAGAUAUCGGGAGGAACACCAGAGGCGAAGGCGGCGACCUGGAAGGUAACUGACACUGAGCAGCGAAAGCGUGGGGAGCAAACAGGAUUAGAUCCCCUGGUAGUCCACGCCGUAAACGAUGGAUGCUAGCUGUGGCGGGUUUUGACCCCUGCCGUGGCGACGCUAACGCACUAAGCAUCCCGCCUGGGAAGUACGGCCGCAAGGCUA